rnacentral:misc_RNA from 1 species
GCUGGAGCUCCUAUUACCAGGAGGGCUUGUUACUGGACGGCUUUGGGUGACUUUCUUGUGAAGCUUAGGUUUUAUUCUACCUCACGUGUAUAAAGAAAUUGAUGAAGAGAAAGAAAUCAACUUUUACUUGUAGAGAUUAAAUGGCCAUUGUGGUUGAUGAUGUAUAGAUGGAGAGAACACUUCUCAGACGAGCUUUACAGAUACACCAAUUGUUUGCUGGGGAUUGAUACUAGAUUGUGCGAUGCUGAACCUCAAACUCUCUCACAAUCCACUCAUACAAUAUAGGCCAAUACGAACCUCUGAUUUAGAAGUACUUGAAAAAAUUCAUGGGGAUCUGUUCCCAAUCAGAUAUGAGUCUGAGUUCUUCCAAAAUGUUGUUAAUGGACGAGACAUUGUGUCAUGGGGAGCUGUUGAUCGUAAUCGACCCAAUGAGCAGAGCGACGAACUUAUUGGAUUUGUGACUGCCAGGACUGUUCUAGCAAAAGACAGUGACAUAGAAGAAUUUCUGAGGUAUGACUCAUCUAGAUCAGAGCAAACACUUAUUUACAUCUUGACUCUGGGGGUUGCAGACUCUUAUAGAAAUCUUGGAAUAGCCAGUUCUCUCAUUCGCGAAGUCAUAAAAUAUGCCUCUAACAUCCCAACUUGUCGAGCAGUUUACCUACAUGUGAUCUCAUAUAAUAACCCUGCCAUAUACUUGUACAAGAAAAUGUCAUUUCAAUGUGUGAGGAGGCUGUCUGCCUUUUAUUUUAUUAAUGAUCAGCAUUACGAUGCGUACUUGUUCAUCUACUAUGUGAAUGGUGGUCGCUCUCCUUGCUCACCCUUAGAGCUCAUUAAGCUUAUAGUUACUGGAGCAAAGAGUGGAUACAGGAUGGUAGCUGCCAAGCUUUGGAGGAAAGAAGACAGAAAGCCUUCCAAGUGGUCCAAAUGCAAGGAGUCUGGCUCCCUUCUUCCAACAAAACAUAACAAGAGGAUGCCAACCGAGGGUGCUCUGUCUCAAUUCGUUUAAUCCUCUACUAGCUUCUGCAUUUUAGUUGACAUUGGAAAUGGAUACAAACGUUUGGAAAGAAAUGUUAUUUAAUCUUCUAUCGCGUCGUUUUAACAGUGUGUUUUACUUGUACCUAGAAGAACAAACCAUUUCUGAUGUUCUUCAUCUUCUGUGCUUGUGAUUUACUUGUUGAUUUGUAAAUUCUUUUGAAAAGUCACCCAAAAAAUUUAAUAAUAUGUGUCGAG